rnacentral:rRNA from 1 species
UACGUAGGGUGCGAGCGUUGUCCGGAAUUAUUGGGCGUAAAGAGCUCGUAGGCGGUGCGUCACGUCGGCCGUGAAAACCUGCAGCUUAACUGUGGGCGUGCGGUCGAUACGGGCAUCACUGGAGUUCGGCAGGGGAGACUGGAAUUCCUGGUGUAGCGGUGAAAUGCGCAGAUAUCAGGAGGAACACCGGUGGCGAAGGCAGCUCGCUGGGACGGUACUGACGCUGAGGCGCGAAAGCGUGGGGAGCAAACAGG